rnacentral:rRNA from 1 species
AGCGAACGCUGGCGGCGUGCCUAACACAUGCAAGUCGAACGUGAACGGAGCAAUCCUAGUAAAGUGGCGUACGGGUGAGUAACACGUAGGUAAUCUACCUUACAGUUCGGAAUAACCUGACGAAAGUCGGGCUAAUACUGGAUAGAGCGACGGAAGCCGUAACGGUUUUUUCGGAAGGGAGCUUGUAUAAGAGCCCUCGCUGUAAGAUGAGCCUGCGUCUGAUUAGUUAGUUGGUGGGGAAU